UACGAAGGGGGCUAGCGUUGCUCGGAAUUACUGGGCGUAAAGGGCGCGUAGGCGGCACUGUUAGUCAGGCGUGAAAGUCUUGGGCUCAACCUGGGAACUGCGCUUGAUACGGCAGAGCUAGAGGAUGGAAGAGGGUCGCGGAAUUCCCAGUGUAGAGGUGAAAUUCGUAGAUAUUGGGAAGAACACCGGUGGCGAAGGCGGCGACCUGGUCCAUUACUGACGCUGAGGCGCGACAGCGUGGGGAGCAAACAGG
rnacentral:rRNA from 1 species